rnacentral:misc_RNA from 1 species
AACCUUAUGGACCUGCGGGCGUAUACCUGCGGAGGGAUCAUUACAAGUGACCCCGGUCUAACCACCGGGAUGUUCAUAACCCUUUGUUGUCCGACUCUGUUGCCUCCGGGGCGACCCUGCCUUCGGGCGGGGGCUCCGGGUGGACACUUCAAACUCUUGCGUAACUUUGCAGUCUGAGUAAACUUAAUUAAUAAAUUAAAACUUUUAACAACGGAUCU